rnacentral:rRNA from 1 species
GGGCCCGCACAAGCGGUGGAGUAUGUGGUUUAAUUCGAUGCAACGCGAAGAACCUUACCAGGGUUUGACAUCCUGCGAAUCUCUUGGAAACAGGAGAGUGCCUUCGGGAACGCAGUGACAGGUGCUGCAUGGCUGUCGUCAGCUCGUGUCGUGAGAUGUUCGGUUAAGUCCGGCAACGAGCGCAACCCACAUCCUUAGUUGCCAGCAGUUCGGCUGGGCACUCUAGGGAAACUGCCCGUGAUAAGCGGGAGGAAGGUGUGGAUGACGUCAAGUCCUCAUGGCCCUUACGGGUUGGGCUACACACGUGCUACAAUGGCAGUGACAAUGGGAUGCAAAGAGGCGACUCUUAGCUAAUCCCUAAAAUGUACCUCAGUUCGGAUUGUACUCUGUAACUCGAGUGCA